UUGGAGGGCAAGUCUGGUGCCAGCAGCCGCGGUAAUUCCAGCUCCAAUAGCGUAUAUUAAAGUUGCUGCAGUUAAAAAGCUCGUAGUUGAAUUUCGGGAUCAUCAUGUCGGUCGUGCCUCAGUACGCACUAGCAUCGUCGGUUUCUCUCUCCUGACGAACCAUGAUGUCAUUUAUUCGGUGUUGUGGGAAAUCAGGACUGUUACUUUGAAAAAAUUAGAGUGUUUAAAGCAGGC
rnacentral:rRNA from 1 species